AUUGAACGCUGGCGGCAUGCCUUACACAUGCAAGUCGAACGGCAGCAUAGGAGCUUGCUCCUGAUGGCGAGUGGCGAACGGGUGAGUAAUAUAUCGGAACGUGCCCUAGAGUGGGGGAUAACUAGUCGAAAGACUAGCUAAUACCGCAUACGAUCUACGGAUGAAAGUGGGGGAUCGCAAGACCUCAUGCUCCUGGAGCGGCCGAUAUCUGAUUAGCUAGUUGGUGGGGUAAAGGCUCACCAAGCCGACGAUCUGUAGCUGGUCUGAGAGGACGACCAGCCACACUGGGACUGAGACACGGCCCAGACUCCUACGGGAGGCAGCAGUGGGGAAUUUUGGACAAUGGGCGCAAGCCUGAUCCAGCCAUUCCGCGUGCAGGAUGAAGGCCCUCGGGUUGUAAACUGCUUUUGUACGGAACGAAAAGGCCUGGGUUAAUACCCUGGGCUCAUGACGGUACCGUAAGAAUAAGCACCGGCUAACUACGUGCCAGCAGCCGCAGUAACAC
rnacentral:rRNA from 1 species